CAAGUCGGCACGUAGCGCAGCCUGGUAGCGCACCGUCAUGGGGUGUCGGGGGUCGGAGGUUCAAAUCCUCUCGU
rnacentral:tRNA from 2 species